AAGAGUGGAGAUGUGGGCAGGGACGAUGAGGUAGAAGCAGUCCUUCAGUUCGCCAGAAAGAAGAGCACAGUAAGAUUUCUCAGUCUGAGGAACCUGGUGAAUGAGUCUCCCAAGAACAUGAGCCCUUCUUCCUCCUCAGACAGAAACUGAAUUGUUGGGUCUGCCUACAGUGAGUGAAAAUCAAAACAGCCUGCUUCUCUCCGAUUUUCUUUAAGUGUUGUGAUGUCUGUUCCAUUUAGAAAGAACUAGGAACUACCCUUUGAAAGAAAACGUGGGAUUCAGGAGCCAGUAGGAGCAAUUUCUGUUAAUGUACACUGAAUUCCUGCGACUAUCCACACACCUCAGUUGGAGGUUUGACUGACCGAUGAAGAGGGUGAAGUAUAUCACAGAUCGUAUAACAUUACCAUAAAGAGUACCAGUGCUCAACAGAGGCUCUAAAGACAGAAGAAUACAAGCAAAACUGGGCUCAUCUACCAUAUUUCUCAGUGAGCUUGUGUUCCAUGAAACCCUGUGUUAAUAAAUAUAUCAUGAUAGAAUAACUUGGGGAAGGGGGAUAACAUUUGAAAUGUGAAUAAAUAAAAUAACCAAUAAAAAUAAAAAUAUUUAAAAAAUAAAAUAUAAUAGUAACUUUGGGUUACUAAAUUCAUCAUAUCACUCUCCUAAAUAGCCUUUCACUAGGUUAAUUCAUAUGAAAGAGAAUACAUCAUUUAACAUUGCUCUAGACCACCCAUACCCGGCAGGAUUGUGUAGAGCUGUGAUUCUCUUCCUAACACUUCAGCCUUUAAUACAGUUGCUUAUGUUUUGGUGACCCCAAUCAUAAAAUUACUUUUGUUGCUACUUAAUAACUGUAAUUUUGCUACUGUUAUGAAUUGUAGUGUAUCUGAUAUACAGGAUAUCUUAUAUUGAAUGGCUAAGAAAGCAUCAUUUUACCCCCCCCCCCAAGGGGUUGCCAUCAACAGGUUGAGAACAGCUUUAUCUACAGGAACUGUAAGUGUUUUUCAGACUUCAGUCUUUAGUUCAGUAUUUAGAAAGGGAUCGACACCAGGGAUUUGUAAACAGACAGGCCAACUGGUCAACAUGUGAGGACUUUAACUUCUAUCAGAGAUGAAGUGAUGGAGCUCAAUUGUGGCAUGCCACAGAGCCUACUCCUCCUCCUCCUCUUUGGGGCUUGGUUAGUCUCCAUUGUAACAGCUACAACCCAGAGAUGUUGUAGAGAACAUUAAGUUCUUUCCAAGACAGUCAUGAGUUAGCCUCUUCAUGGUGCUUGUAUUAACUGAGGUUGGGCUACCAUGCAUAUCAGGUGCCUUAGAGGAAGCUUGUAAGAGUUAUUUAUCGGUGGCUAAGGUUAGAGUCUAUGUGAUAGGAAGGUUAAAUGAAAGAGAAAAAAAAAGAGAAAAUGAAAUUAGUAGAGAGAAUGGUCCAGAGGCCAAUUUGCUGGAGGCAGAAAGUGCCAGAGACCUGGACUCCAUUUAACUAAAGCGAUGGGAACACCUUCGUUGUUGAAUGUACACAUUCAAGGUCUGGUGCCUCUGCUGACAGAAUUGCAAACACCCAGCCUAGAGGGCAAUGACUGAUGGCUUCUAUGGAAUUGAAAUCCAGCAGGGUGUGAAGUAGGUAUAGCACCUCUUCAGCAUCUGCACUGUACAAUCACCACAUUGAAAGGUAAGUAAGUCCCAUGCAAGCUUUGCAGAUAUUCAUGAGCCAAACAGCUUUCUCCUGCACAGUCUGGCUAUGCCUAAUAUAAGAACGAAAAACAACAUGAACUUGAUUAUCUGAAAACAAGGAAAAAAGUGGAAGAUAAGGAGGGUCAUGUGAUUUACCCUUCACCAUACUGUAGAAAAGGGGAGGGUGUGGCGACAAAGGAGAAGGGAGGAAACAUGUGCCGUAUGCAUGCAAUUAAAAUUUCUAAAAGAAACCUGGUCAUCGCAAAUAUCUGUAUGAGCAAAGCUCCCUGGGAAUCUCCCGAGACCUUGGGAAGCUCACUGGACACCUUAGCAUGUGCAUCCCCCCAGUAGGGUUGGUAAGAGGGAAAGGGAGCAAAGAGCUUACUAAGCACUGCCACGUACUAUGUGCUCUCAAGCAAGAUCCCCUUGAGGAACUGUAGUUGGUAAGUUUGGAACAAGCAGGCUCUGUUCUCUCAAGUCCCACUGUGCUGAGGAGCAGUCCCCUCACAUGCCUGUGUGAUCCAUGCGGCAUACAGAGGUUGGAGGAAUGUGUCAAACAGAAUAUAUUUAGCAGUCUUCUAGAGAGGUGGUCACAACAGAUGAUGUAAAUCUCAAACGCCUGAUUGGACCAUUUUAAGGAACAAAUUGGUUAAAAAAAAUUAGAAACCAUCAAGAGUGAUUAAGCCCAAAUUGAUGCUGAGGCAGCAAAAAAAAAAUGUAAAAUGUAAACUAUACUAUUAUCAGCUACAGUCCUGAUGCCCCAGUUAACAAUAUACUAUUAUUAACUGUCAUCCAAUGCCUUGCUUCAAGUCACCAGGUACAUUCAACCUACAUAACUCCAUCUUUAAACACUUGGACCUACAUCUCUUCAUAUUCUCCUACCUUCAGCCACCAUUUUUUCUCUACUUUUGUAUAUUUGACUUGGUGUUUCAAAUCCCACAAUGUGUUUAAGAACACACAAUGGUUUGCUUUUUUCUAUGCAGUAUUUGACUUAACAUAGCAAUCUCCAAAUUAAUAUAUGUUGAUACAAAUGUAACACUCUUCUCUUUCAACCCUGACCAUUAUACAUACUACAAAACACAUAAUCAUAUAUAUGCACACACAUAUAGAUAUUUUUACCCAAUCACCUGUCUAUGGGCACAUAUUGUUACCAUAUCUUGGUUGUGGUGGACAAUGCCAUGACCAAGAGGGAGUGCAGAUCAUUCCACAGAGUCAGUUCUAUUCCUUGGGUGUGUAUCUAGAGGAAGGGUUGCUCAUUAGGUUGCAGCUCUAUUUUUCAGAGUUUGAGGAAGCACCAUUCUGUUUUGCACACUGCACUGGUACCAGUGGCAUUCAGGGGUGGGACACAGAUCAAGACCCACCUCCUGCUCAGAACGGUUGAAGCUACUGAUUCCAGUAACUCAGGUAAGGUGCCACCAUGGCAGGUAAGCACUUCAUUGAUGCCAAAGGAGCAGGAAAUUGGAACUGAUAUUCUCUCUGUUAGACUUUUGCUGAACAAAGUAAAUGUAGUUCUUUAAGAGAAAGGAAAUCGAUCCUACAAAGGUGAAUUGCCUGCCUCUGUAACCAUCUGUGUGCCACUGCGCCUGAAGUCUUCACAAAGAUGGCAGGCCUGUAGCUUUAAUUGUUUUAAGAUUAAGGGCUCUUUCUUCCUUUAACUUAACAAAGAGGGAAUCUACUUUCACAAAGCUUAGAAUUACUUAUCCCAAAUCCUACAGGGGACUGUGGUCCAGGCCUCCCAAUUCAAGCCUCUUGAUCGGACACAUUUCUGCCCUUUCUCCUGAGAUGGGCCACUCCCCAAAUGCUCAUUAACCAUUUCACUGGACUUAAAAGCCCAAGUUCAACUUACUUCCAGGUAAGAACACUUACCAAGUCCCCUGUCUUUAAGCAACAGCUUCCACUUCUAUAAAAAGAAGACGCCCUUUUCCAAAGCAGUCAUAGGAUCUGGUGAGAACUUGCAUGUCUCAAGAAAUAAUGUAGACAUUUAAGGUAUUAACUUAUGCUGUUAGUGUUGUAAUUCCUAAGAGUAGAUGGAAGCUAUGGAGAUGGGAUUUUAAGGCUGAGUGAAAAAUGUACUGACACUUAAAGCCAGACUAAGUUUCAGGGUAGACAACUUAUUUGUUCAAUUAACUUAUGAAGUUCACUUUCUAUCUCACAAAUCAAAAAACUCAUCACUAUGGCUGGAAUACUUAUUCCCACCACAGUUCAUAUGUUAAAAUCCUAAGCAAGAGGGUAAUGAUAUGAAGUACGGUAAAGCAAAUGAGUGGCUGGGGGAUUCCUCAGUGUGUAAGAACACUUGCUGUGUCAGAGGACCUGACUUCAAAGUCUCAGCACUCUGGUGGGGGAUGGAGACAGGAGGGUUUCUAGGGCUAGCUGGCCGCCAGCCUAGUCCCAGGUUUAAUCAGACACACUGUCUCAAAGGAAUAAAGUGGAAAGUAGUAACAUCUGCUAGGCCAUCCUCCCCCACCUUCUGUUCACACACGAACACACACACACACACACACACACACACACACACACACACACACACA